UCAAACACCAACUUAGUCUCAAAACCUAGUGCAAAGAAUCCCAACCCAGUUCUUCAAACCAGCCUGUCCUUCUCUCUCCUCCAGGCGGCGACGGGGAGUCUUCCUUUUUUGCUUUAACUCACUCGAAUAAUAUAUGGAGCGAUAUCUUCUCUCUUAGUGCAGAAGUCUGUGUCCCAAAUGGCUAAAAUGGUGGUUCUAAGACACAUUACUUCAAAGCGAUCAUUAUCAACUUUUCCUUUUCUCUCUCAGAGAAUUAAACAAACAGAAAAAGAAAUAGUUGAAAUGUUCAAGGUACCCAGUUCAAAGGAUGAUGAAAUGCAAAACUUGCCCACGCAAAAUAUCAAGUUCUCGAGGAGAGACCCUUCGGUUAGGACAUUAGAUGAGAGGUUUAUAAGGAUUUUGAAGAUAUUUAAGUGGGGACCUGAUGCUGAAAAGGCCUUGGAAGUGCUCAAGUUGAAAGUGGAUCAUCGAUUGGUUCGUGAGGUUUUGAAGAUAGAUGUUGAGAUUAAUGUUAAGAUUCAGUUUUUCAAGUGGGCUGGCAAGAGGAGGAAUUUUGAGCACGAUUUGACUACUUAUAUGCCUCUAAUCCGUUGUUUGGAUGACUGUGGGUUAUUUGGUGAAAUGUGGAAGAUGAUCCAAGAAAUGGUCAGGAGCCCGACGUGUGUUAUUGGUCCGGCUGAUUUGUCUGAAGUUGUGAAGAUAUUGGGCAAGGCCAAGAUGGUGAAUAAGGCACUUUCUGUCUUCUACCAGAUAAAGAGUCGCAAGUGCAAACCAACGGCGAGCACCUACAACUCUAUGAUUUUGAUGUUGAUGCAAGAAGGGCAUUAUGAAAAAAUUCACGAGCUUUACCAUGAGAUGUGUAAUGAGGGUGACUGUUUUCCAGACACAAUGACAUAUAGUGUGCUUGUUUCGGCGUUUGGGAAAUUGGGUCGGGAUGAUUAUGCUAUAAGGUUGUUCGAUGAGAUGAAGGCCAAUGGCUUGCAUCCAACUGCAAAGAUUUAUACUACCUUGCUGGCAAUCUACUUCAAGUUAGGUGAUGAGAAAGCUUUGGGUUUGGUGCAAGAGAUGAAGGAUAAGGGCUGUGCACCUACCGUCUUCACUUACACCGAGUUGAUUAAGGGACUAGGAAAAUCUGGGAGGGUUGAAGAUGCUUACAGUGUAUUCUUGAAUAUGUUAAAGGAUGGUUGUAAGCCUGAUGUUGUGCUGAUAAACAAUUUGAUCAACAUUUUUGGAAAAGCAGGUCGCUUGGAAGAUGCGCUUAAGCUUUUUGACCAGAUGAGGUCUUGGAAGUGCGCGCCAAAUGUGGUUACAUACAACACUGUAAUUAAGGCUUUAUUUGAAUCCAAAGCUCCAGCUUCCGAGGCUGCUUCAUGGUUUGAGAAGAUGAAGGCAAAUGGUGUUACUCCCAGCUCGUUUACGUACUCAAUUCUUAUUGAUGGUUUUUGCAAAACAAAUAGAAUUGAGAAAGCUUUGUUGCUUCUUGAAGAGAUGGAUGAAAAGGGUUUUCCGCCUUGUCCAGCUGCCUAUUGCAGCCUUAUCAACGCUCUUGGAAAGGCAAAACGAUAUGAAGCUGCAAAUGAGUUAUUUCUGGAGUUGAAAGAGAAUUGUGGACGUUCAAGUGCUCGUAUAUAUGCUGUGAUGAUAAAAAAUCUUGGAAAGUGUGGCCGUCCGAGUGAGGCAGUAGAUCUUUUCAACGAGAUGAAGAAAAUUGGAUGCAAUCCUGAUGUUUAUGCUUACAAUGCACUCAUGUCAGGGUUGGUAAGGGCUGGUAUGAUAGAAGAAGCUUUUUCUGCGCUCAGAACCAUGGAAGAAAAUGGUUGCACUCCAGACAUAAACUCGCAUAACAUUAUUCUAAAUGGCCUGGCUAGGACAGGUCGCCCAGAACAGGCAACUGAAAUGUUUAUGAAGAUGAAAGAUUCGUUGAUCAAGCCAGAUGCAGUGUCGUAUAACACCAUUCUUGGCAGUCUGAGCCGCUCUGGCAUGUUUGAGGAGGCUGCAAAGCUGAUGAGAGAGAUGGGUUCAAGAGGAUUUGAAUAUGAUCACAUCACUUACUCAUCAAUUCUUGAGGCGGUUGGUAAGGUUGAUGAAGAUGAUGAACCCAACUUUCCAUGAAGGAGACCUGGUCCUUUUGGUUUGUUCACGUAGACUUUGGAGGAAUGCAAUCUUCACCAAGUUGAAAAAACCCUUAACAGCUUAAGGGUUGCCCCUUGCUUUACUAGGACCACCAGUUUAUCAAAUAAAUCGACGAACUUUUUACCAAGCAUGAACUUUUACCAAGAACGAGUGUGAUUGGUUUUGAUUUGGGCUGAGAACUGCACUGUUGCUGUUAUCAGGCAAAGUGGCAUUGGUGUUGUGCUUAACAAUGAAUCAUUUGGAAAUGGAGGGAUAACUGGUUAGAGGGUUUUGGGCCGCUGGAGCAACAUGCUACUCAAAUCAUUUCGGAGGAGUUGGUUAAUGCUUCUGUUGCGGAUAUGGUGAUCAAUAAUGAGCAAUGGAGCUGGGAAUCUUUUCUCACUUGCUCCCCAUGCAGAUAGUGUUGAUCAUGGCUAAUUACCUUCCCCCCUCAAGUGCUAUGGAAAAGGAGGCGGUUUAUUGGUGAAACACCACAUCAGGUGCAUUUACUACUCAGUCUGCAUAUGAUGCACAAAUUAAUGAAGUGAAUUCUAGUCAUCGCAAGGAUCCUAUUUGGCGAUUGGUUUUGAAAUGGAAAGGUCUAGAGUGGAUCAAGGCAUUCUUAUGGACAGUGGCUCAAAAUGGUUUGUUGACAAAUGAGGCUUGAGUGCGUUGACAUUUUACAGAGAAUCCUAGUUGCCAUCGUUGCUUAGGGGAAACAGAGAGCACGUUGCUUGCACUUAGAGACUGCCCUAUUGCUACUAUUAUUUGGAAUUCUCUUGUUAAACCACGGGACAAGGAAAUGCUUUUUAGUGCAGGAGAGACCACUUGGCUGUUAAGAAGCCUCUCGGCUUGUGAUGAGGCCACAGCAGUAGUUACUUGGUCUACAGUAUUUGGAGUAACAAUCUGGUACUGGCGGAAGUUUAGAAACCAAAGAAUUUUUGCCAAUGAUUCUAUGUCUCACACUUGUCCCUUGAACGUGAUUAAGAGUCUAGUAGCAGACAUAAAACGUACCAAUGAGGUAGAUGGCGGAGCUUGUAGCAAUAUGAAGUGAGUUGGAUUGGUUGGAAAUACCCUCCAAGGGAGUGGAUGAAGCUUAAUGUUGAUGAUAGUAGAAAGGGAAAUUCUGGGUGCUCCGGAGCAGAUGGACUCAUUCGGGACAGUAAUGGAUCUUGAAUUGUUGGAUUUGCUAUAAAUACUGGUGUGGGAAUCUCAGUUAGAGCUGAGCUAUGUGCAAUUACUGCUGGAUUAGAGAGUAUUACCAAACUGAUUAUUGAAUGGGAUUCUGAGCUGGUGAUAGAUUGCAUUACAAAGGAGUCAAUUAAAAUGGAUGCGAACUAUAUUUUAAUUGUCAAAGCAAGGGAACUAUUAAAAAGAGAUUGGGAAGUGGUAGCGCAACAUGCAUUCAGGGAAGCCAAUUUAGUAGCAGACUGUUUAGCAAACUUUGGGUUAAGUAAAGAUCUAUUUGACAGGGGAUUGGGAAUAAUUACCAAUCCUCCUUUAAUCUUAAACUCUUUCUUGUAUUUCGAUCUCAUUGGGUCCAUUUUUUCUCGUUUGAUUUAAUCUAGAGCUAAUCUAGCUCUAACUUGAAAAAAAAAGAAA